rnacentral:rRNA from 1 species
AACAAAAACAUGUCUUUUUGAAUUAUAUAUAAAGUCUAACCUGCCCACUGAAAAUUUUAAAUGGCCGCAGUAUUUUGACUGUGCAAAGGUAGCAUAAUCAUUAGUCUUUUAAUUGAAGGCUGGAAUGAAUGGUUGGACGAAAUAUUAACUGUUUCAUUUAAAAUUUUAUAGAAUUUUAUUUUUUAGUCAAAAAGCUAAAAUUUAUUUAAAAGACGAGAAGACCCUAUAAAUCUUUAUAUUUUUUUUUAUUUUAAUUAUAUAGAUUAAUUAAAUUUUAAUAAAUAAAAAUAUUUUAUUGGGGUGAUAUUAAAAUUUAAAAAACUUUUAAUUUUUUAAAAACAUAAAUUUAUGAAUAUUUGAUCCAUUAAUAAUGAUUAAAAAAUUAAGUUACUUUAGGGAUAACAGCGUAAUUUUUUUGGAGAGUUCAUAUCGAUAAAAAAGAUUGCGACCUCGAUGUUGGAUUAAGAUAUAAUUUUGGGUGUAGCCGUUCAAAUUUUAAGUCUGUUCGACUUUUAAAUUCUUACAUGAUC